rnacentral:rRNA from 1 species
GGUUAAGUGACUAAGCGUACAUGGUGGAUGCCUUGGCAGUCAGAGGCGAUGAAGGACGUACUAACCUGCGAUAAGCUGUGAGAAGUCGGUAAGAGACGCUAUUACUCACAGAUUUCCGAAUGGGGAAACCCACCCGAGAUAACUCGGGUAUCUGUUACUGAAUACAUAGGUAACAGAGGCGAACCGGGAGAACUGAAACAUCUAAGUACCCCGAGGAAAAGAAAUCAACCGAGAUUCCCUCAGUAGCGGCGAGCGAACGGGGAUUAGCCCUUAAGCAUCUUGGAAGUUAGUGGAACGGACCUGGAAAGGGCCGGCGAUACAGGGUGAUAGCCCCGUACACGAAAACAACCUUGAUGUGAAAUCGAGUAGGGCGGGACACGUGACAUCCUGUCUGAAUAUGGGGGGACCAUCCUCCAAGGCUAAAUACUCCUGACUGACCGAUAGUGAACCAGUACCGUGAGGGAAAGGCGAAAAGAACCCCUGUGAGGGGAGUGAAAUAGAACCUGAAACCGUGUACGUACAAGCAGUGGGAGCCCUUCGGGGUGACUGCGUACCUUUUGUAUAAUGGGUCAGCGACUUACAUUUUGUAGCGAGGUUAACCGUAUAGGGGAGCCGUAGGGAAACCGAGUCUUAACUGGGCGUCUAGUUGCAAGGUGUAGACCCGAAACCGGGUGAUCUAGCCAUGGGCAGGUUGAAGGUUGAGUAACAUCAACUGGAGGACCGAACCCACUAACGUUGCAAAGUUAGGGGAUGACCUGUGGCUGGGGGUGAAAGGCCAAUCAAACUCGGAGAUAGCUGGUUCUCCCCGAAAGCUAUUUAGGUAGCGCCUCGGACGAAUACUACUGGGGGUAGAGCACUGUUUGGGCUAGGGGGUCAUCCCGACUUACCAACCCCAUGCAAACUCCGAAUACCAGUAAGUACUAUCCGGGAGACACACGGCGGGUGCUAACGUCCGUCGUGAAGAGGGAAACAACCCAGACCGCCGGCUAAGGUCCCAAAGUUCUGGUUAAGUGGGAAACGAUGUGGGAAGGCUCAGACAGCUAGGAUGUUGGCUUAGAAGCAGCCAUCAUUUAAAGAAAGCGUAAUAGCUCACUAGUCGAGUCGGCCCUGCGCGGAAGAUGUAACGGGGCUCAAACCAGGCACCGAAGCCGCGGAUUCACACUUAUGUGUGAGUGGUAGGGGAGCGUUCUGUAAGUCUGCGAAGGUGUAUCGAGAGGUAUGCUGGAGAUAUCAGAAGUGCGAAUGCUGACGUAAGUAACGAUAAAGGGGGUGAAAAGCCUCCUCGCCGGAAGACCAAGGGUUCCUGUCCAACGUUAAUCGGGGCAGGGUGAGUCGACCCCUAAGGCGAGGCCGAAAGGCGUAGUCGAUGGGAAGCAGGUUAAUAUUCCUGCACGACUUGUAAUUGCGAUGGGGGGACGGAGAAGGCUAGGUGGGCCAGGCGACGGUUGUCCUGGUGAAAGUGCGUAGGUGGUGUUUCUAGGCAAAUCCGGAGACACAACACUGAGACACGAGACGAACACACUACGGUGUGGAAGCCAUUGAUGCCCUGCUUCCAGGAAAAGCCUCUAAGCUUCAGAUUACAAGUCAUCGUACCCCAAACCGACACAGGUGGUCGGGUAGAGAAUACCAAGGCGCUUGAGAGAACUCGGGUGAAGGAACUAGGCAAAAUAGAACCGUAACUUCGGGAGAAGGUUCGCUCUUGAUGGUGAAGUCCCUUGCGGAUGGAGCAGUUGGGAGUCGCAGUGACCAGAUGGCUGGGACUGUUUAUCAAAAACACAGCACUCUGCAAACACGAAAGUGGACGUAUAGGGUGUGACACCUGCCCGGUGCCGGAAGGUUAAUUGAUGGGGUUAGCGCAAGCGAAGCUCUUGAUCGAAGCCCCGGUAAACGGCGGCCGUAACUAUAACGGUCCUAAGGUAGCGAAAUUCCUUGUCGGGUAAGUUCCGACCUGCACGAAUGGUGUAACCAUGGCCAUGCUGUCUCCACCCGAGACUCAGUGAAAUCGAAUUCGCCGUGAAGAUGCGGUGUACCCGCGGCUAGACGGAAAGACCCCGUGAACCUUUACUACAGCUUGGCACUGAACAUUGAACCUACAUGUGUAGGAUAGGUGGGAGGCUUUGAAGGCGUGACGCCAGUUGCGCUGGAGCCGUCCUUGAAAUACCACCCUUGUAUGUUUGAUGUUCUAACGCAGGGCCCUGAAUCGGGCUCGCGGACAGUGCCUGGUGGGUAGUUUGACUGGGGCGGUCUCCUCCCAAAGAGUAACGGAGGAGCACGAAGGUUGGCUAAUCCUGGUCGGACAUCAGGAGGUUAGUGCAAUGGCAUAAGCCAGCUUAACUGCGAGACGGACAGGUCGAGCAGGUACGAAAGUAGGUCAUAGUGAUCCGGUGGUUCUGAAUGGAAGGGCCAUCGCUCAACGGAUAAAAGGUACUCCGGGGAUAACAGGCUGAUACCGCCCAAGAGUUCAUAUCGACGGCGGUGUUUGGCACCUCGAUGUCGGCUCAUCACAUCCUGGGGCUGAAGUCGGUCCCAAGGGUAUGGCUGUUCGCCAUUUAAAGUGGUACGCGAGCUGGGUUCAGAACGUCGUGAGACAGUUCGGUCCCUAUCUGCCGUGGGCGUUGGAUGAUUGAAGGGAGUUGCUCCUAGUACGAGAGGACCGGAGUGAACGAACCUCUGGUGUUCGGGUUGUCACGCCAGUGGCACUGCCCGGUAGCUAAGUUCGGAAUCGAUAACCGCUGAAAGCAUCUAAGCGGGAAGCGAGCCCUGAGAUGAGUCAUCCCUGACCCCUUGAGGGUCCUAAAGGGCCGUUGGAGACCACAACGUUGAUAGGCGGGGUGUGUAAGUGCAGCGAUGCAUUGAGCUAACCCGUACUAAUUACCCGUGAGGCUUAACCAU